rnacentral:rRNA from 1 species
GAUUGAACGCUGGCGGCAGGCCUAACCCAUGCAAGUCGAACGGUAACAGGAAGAAGCUUGCUUCUUUGCUGACGAGUGCGGACGGGUGAGUAAUGUCUGGGAAACUGCCUGAUGGAGGGGGAUAACUACUGGAAACGGUAGCUAAUACCGCAUAACGUCGCAAGACCAAAGAGGGGGACCUUCGGGCCUCUUGCCAUCGGAUGUGCCCAGAUGGGAUUAGCUAGUAGGUGGGGUAACGGCUCACCUAGGCGACGAUCCCUAGCUGGUCUGAGAGGAUGACCAGCCACACUGGAACUGAGACACGGUCCAGACUCCUACGGGAGGCAGCAGUGGGGAAUAUUGCACAAUGGGCGCAAGCCUGAUGCAGCCAUGCCGCGUGUAUGAAGAAGGCCUUCGGGUUGUAAAGUACUUUCAGCGGGGAGGAAGGGAGUAAAGUUAAUACCUUUGCUCAUUGACGUUACCCGCAGAAGAAGCACCGGCUAACUCCGUG